rnacentral:rRNA from 1 species
CCUACGGGGGGCAGCAGUAGGGAAUCUUCCACAAUGGGCGAAAGCCUGAUGGAGCAACGCCGCGUGGGUGAAGACGGUCUUCGGAUCGUAAAACCCUGUUGUUAGAGAAGAAAGUGCGUGAGCGUAACUGUUCUCGUUUCGACGGUAUCUAACCAGAACGCCACGGCUAACUACGUGCCAGCAGCCGCGGUAAUACGUAGGUGGCAAGCGUUAUCCGGAUUUAUUGGGCGUAAAGGGAACGCAGGCGGUCUUUUAAGUCUGAUGUGAAAGCCUUCGGCUUAACCGGAGUAGUGCAUUGGAUACUGGGAGACUUGAGUGCAGAAGAGGAGGGUGGAACUCCAGGUGUAGCGGUGAAAUGCGUAGAUAUAUGGAAGAACACCAGUGGCGAAGGCAGCUCUCUGAUCUGUAACUGACGCUGAGGUUCGAAAGCGUGGGUAGCAAACAGGAUUAGAUACCCCUGUAGUC